GAAAGGAAGCUUCUUCUCCAAAAUUUAAAAUUUUUGAAAAUUAUUCCUUCUGAAAAUAUCAUCGCGUUCUUGACCUCGAAGCUGACUGCUGAAUGCGAUUAGGAAAGAAGAUUCCUGAAGAUACACCAGACUGAUUCUGGCAAGCCGUCUGUCGUCUAGACAUGCGGUUGUUCGUCAUGCAUGGUCAGCAAUCUUCCUCGUUCGUCCUUUCGUUUUCCUGACCACGAUGAUGACAAGCAGCUCUCAUGCUCAGGAUUCUGAAAGCUGGAGCAGCUCUGCUUACCUCGACCACUGAACUUACAACUAACUUCCAACCAAGUACAAGGCAAUAUUAUGAUGAAUCAAGCACGCUUGCCAUCAUGUCAUCAUUGCAAAGUACAUCGACAACAUAGAUUUGGUGCCGACUAUGUAUGAUGUAGAGUGUGCUCUAUGUAUCUAUACUACUGAUUGGCCUACAUUGUACUUAUGUGGGCUGAGAGUAAUCGAUUGUGCUAUAUGGCAGUUUACUUGUAUGUCAUAGAUGUUAACAUUGCACACAGCUUCUGAAAUGCUUUCUGUUGCACUGGCCUACUGCGGCCCACUGCAAAUAGAUUGUAGUGGCAUGGGCCAUGCCAUAAUUAUAGUAGUAUACCGGUACUACACCAACAAUUUCACUGGUGCACUGUACUUACUGGUACGAGUAGAUCUACAUCAUGCACAGCCUUGUCACUGCUUUUCUCAUUUUUUAUUAAUUUACUGUACUGUACACAUUUUGACACAGCUCUUCCACAAAGAGUUACUAGUAUUUUCUUCUGCAUACCUACUGUAUACAGUGACCUGACUGGUAACAUCUAUGGCUGUUUUCUGGGUUGACAGCCUCGAACCUAUACGAUUUGUUUCUAAGAACGUGCUAUAAGAAAUUUUCUAUUGAAGUAUUCUACUGUAGCUCGCAGGACAUGGAGUGCAAUUACGUAAAGUUUGGAACACCA